GUAAGGAAUAUUGGACAAUGGACGCAAGUCUGAUCCAGCCAUGCCGCGUGAAGGAUUAAGGUCCUCUGGAUUGUAAACUUCUUUUAUAAGGGACGAAAAAAGGCUUUUCUAAGUCGUCUGACGGUACCUUAUGAAUAAGCACCGGCUAACACCGUGCCAGCAGCCGCGGUAAUACGGAGGGUGCAAGCGUUAUCCGGAUUCACUGGGUUUAAAGGGUGCGUAGGCGGGCAGGUAAGUCAGUGGUGAAAUCCUAGAGCUUAACUCUAGAACUGCCAUUGAUACUAUCUGUCUUGAAUAUUGUGGAGGUAAGCGGAAUAUGUCAUGUAGCGGUGAAAUGCUUAGAUAUGACAUAGAACACCUAUUGCGAAGGCAGCUUACUACGCAUAUAUUGACGCUGAGGCACGAAAGCGUGGGGAUCAAACAGGAUUAGAUACCCUGGUAGUCC
rnacentral:rRNA from 1 species